AGCGAACGCUGGCGGCAGGCUUAACACAUGCAAGUCGAGCGGGCAUCCUUGUGGUGUCAGCGGCAGACGGGUGAGUAACGCGUGGGAACGUGCCCUUCGGUUCGGAAUAACUCAGGGAAACUUUAGCUAAUACCGGAUACGUGCGAGAGCAGAAAGGUUUAUCUGCCGAAGGAUCGGCCCGCGUCUGAUUAGCUAGUUGGUGAGGUUAUGGCUCACCAAGGCGACGAUCAGUAGCUGGUCUGAGAGGAUGAUCAGCCACACUGGGACUGAGACACGGCCCAGACUCCGACGGGAGGCAGCAGUGGGGAAUAUUGGACAAUGGGGGCAACCCUGAUCCAGCCAUGCCGCGUGAGUGAUGACGGCCUUAGGGUUGUAAAGCCCUUUUCUUCGGGACGAUAAUGACGGUACCGGAGGAAUAAGCCCCGGCUAACUUCGUG
rnacentral:rRNA from 1 species